UACGAGGGGGCUAGCGUUGCUCGGAAUCACUGGGCGUAAAGCGCACGUAGGCGGAUCUUUAAGUCAGGGGUGAAAUCCUGGAGCUCAACUCCAGAACUGCCUUUGAUACUGAGGAUCUCGAGUCCGGAAGAGGUGAGUGGAACUCCGAGUGUAGAGGUGAAAUUCGUAGAUAUUCGGAAGAACACCAGUGGCGAAGGCGGCUCACUGGUCCGGUACUGACGCUGAGGUGCGAAAGCGUGGGAGCAAACAGG
rnacentral:rRNA from 1 species